rnacentral:lncRNA from 1 species
AAGGACAACUAGGAGGAAAUCCGCAUCAGCAUGGUGAGGAAGAAGGAGGGUGUUGGGUUUGGACUGGAACUCUACAACACGGUAGUUUUCAAGAUUCUGCAUUUGUUUGGAGCGUUGGUCGAACCUCUGGAGGACCCGAAGGUGACCGAAUUCGUUUCUGAAUAGAGUGCGGAACCACCUGUCAGAGUUGAAGUAGAAAGGGUUAUUUUUUCCUCUUGAAACGGACACUUCUGCGGCAUCAUGGUUCUCCCGGUGUACGAUGCCGAAGGAGACAGAAAGUGAUGCCAGGAAAAGAAUUCCCAGCAACAGAAGCAGUGGAACCCUUGCGCUCAUCAUAUUGAAUAUGAGUUGGGUUGGGGUAUUAGAGUAGUACUAGAUGGAAUAUUGUAGUAGUACUCUUGAUGGAUGAUGAAUGAAGUGAGGGAUGUUAUGAGGGUAUUUAUAGGUAUUAUAUAAGAGAGAAGGUCCUUGGAACAUGCAUGGAGAUUUGGGCAUGGGAU